CAGCACCUUAAAUACACAGGAAGUGCUCCGUGGCUCCUCCCCAAACAUUCCUGAAUGGUGGACCAAAGAAAAGUCAGCUGCUGCCCUCUGCUGGUGUUGUUCAUUCUGUACAACACAACGACUCCAGUCUGAAGUCUGGGUGAUAGACGGAGAACUAACUGUGACAUCAGAGCAACUAUCUCACUUUCAGCAGUGAGCUCUGCUGCUGAGAUGCAGGAAAACAACCUCACUGUGUAAAGAUUCAUGUCUGAAGGAUCUGGUAUGUUUCCAUGGCGACUGUACUCUCAUUACUGCAAAACUAAAUACAUCUCACUAACGUUGGUUCAGCAGCUGCAGACAUAAAGGCUCACAUUUUGGACUGUUAUUGGCUCUAAAUGACAGUAAGUAUAUCACACAUCCCUAAUAAAACUGAACCAUUGCAGAACAA